rnacentral:rRNA from 1 species
CACUUUUAGUUGCCAUCAUUAAGUUGGGCACUCUGAAAGAACUGCCAGUGAUAAGCUGGAGGAAGGUGGGGAUGACGUCAAGUCCUCAUGGCCCUUACGUGUUGGGCUACAUACGUGCUACAAUGGUAUCUACAACUGGAAGCAAAACGGCAAACGUUAAGCAAAUCCCGAAAAGAUACCUCAGUUCGGAUUGCGCUCUGCAACUCGAGUGCAUGAAGCUGGAAUUACUAGUAAUCGUGCAUCAGCGUGCCACGGUGAAUGCGUUC